UACGAGGGGGGCGAGCGUUGUUCGGAUUUACUGGGCGUAAAGGGCGCGCAGGCGGCUAUUUUUGUCAGGCGUGAAAGCCCCGGGCUUAACCUGGGAACAGCGCUUGAGACGGGAUGGCUAGAGAUCGGGAGAGGAGAGUGGAAUUCCCAGUGUAGAGGUGAAAUUCGUAGAUAUUAGGAAGAACACCAGUGGCGAAGGCGGCUCACUGGUCCGGUACUGACGCUGAGGUGCGAAAGCGUGGGGGGCAAACAGG
rnacentral:rRNA from 1 species